AUAACGGUCCUAAGGUAGCGAAAUUCCUUGUCAGGUAAGUUCUGACCCGCACGAAUGGCGUAAUGAUUUGGGCACUGUCUCAACAGCCCGCCCGGCGAAAUUGUAGUACUGGUGAAGAUGCCAGUUACCCGCAACUAGACGGAAAGACCCCAUGGAGCUUUACUGCAGUUUAAUACUGGGAAUCGGUAAUGCAUGUACAGGAUAGGUGGGAGACUAGGAAGCAUGGUCGUCAGGUCAUGUGGAGUCACCGGUGGGAUACCACUCUUGUAUUGCUGAUUUCCUAACCUGCGGCCGUGAAUCCGGUCGGGGGACACUGUUAGACGGGCAGUUUGACUGGGGCGGUCGCCUCCAAAAGAGUAACGGAGGCGCUCAAAGGUUCGUUCAGCACGGACGGAAAUCGUGCAUUGAGUGUAAACGCAUAAACGAGCCUAACUGCGAGACCGACGGGUCGAGCAGUAACGAAAGUUGGAGUUAGUGAUCCGGUGGUAUGUGAGUGGAAAUGCCAUCGCUCAACGGAUAAAAGCUACCCUGGGGAUAACAGGCUGAUCUCCCCCAAGCGUCCACAGCGACGGGGAGGUUUGGCACCUCGAUGUCGGCUCGUCGCAUCCUGGGGCUGUAUUCGGUCCCAAGGGUUUGGCUGUUCGCCAAUUAAAGCGGCACGCGAGCUGGGUUCAGAACGUCGUGAGACAGUUCGGUCCCUAUCUGUUGCGGGCGUAAGAGAUUUGAAGGGAGCUGUCCUUAGUACGAGAGGACCGGGAUGGACGUACCUCUGGUGCACCAGUUGUCCUGCCAAGGGCAUAGCUGGGUAGCUAUGUACGGACGAGAUAAACGCUGAAAGCAUCUAAGCGUGAAACUCCCCCUAAGAUGAGAUCUCUCAUCCUUUAUGGAGUAAGGGCCCAGAAAGACGAUCUGGUUGAUAGGCCGGAGGUGGAAGUGCAGUAAUGUAUGGAGCUGACCGGUACUAAUAGCCCGAGGGCUUGACCUA
rnacentral:rRNA from 1 species